CGCGGCCUAUCAGCUUGUUGGCGAGGUAACGGCUCACCAAGGCGACGACGGGUAGCUGGUCUGAGAGGACGACCAGCCACACUGGAACUGAGAUACGGUCCAGACUCCUACGGGAGGCAGCAGUGGGGAAUAUUGCACAAUGGGCGAAAGCCUGAUGCAGCGACGCCGCGUGAGGGAUGAAGGCCUUCGGGUCGUAAACCUCUUUCGGCAGGGACGAAGCGAUCAGUGACGGUACCUGCAGAAGAAGCCCCGGCUAACUACGUGCCAGCAGCCGCGGUAAGACGUAGGGGGCGAGCGUUGUCCGGAUUCAUUGGGCGUAAAGCGCGCGUAGGCGGCUGCGCAAGUCGGUUGUGAAACCCCGGGGCUCAACCCCGGAACUGCAUCCGAUACUGCGUGGCUAGAGGUAGGUAGGGGAGAUCGGAAUUCCUGGUGUAGCGGUGAAAUGCGCAGAUAUCAGGAGGAACACCGGUGGCGAAGGCGGAUCUCUGGGCCUUACCUGACGCUCAGGCGCGAAAGCUAGGGGAGCGAACAGGAUUAGAUACCCUGGUAGUCCUAGCCGUAAACGUUGGGUGCUAGGUGUGGGCGGAUAUCGACCCCGUCCGUGCCGAAGCUAACGCAUUAAGCACCCCGCCUGGGGAGUACGG
rnacentral:rRNA from 1 species